UCCGUAGGCGGUUUGAUAAGUCAGUGGUGAAAUCCCAUCGCUCAACGAUGGAACGGCCAUUGAUACUGUCAGACUUGAAUAACUGGGAAGUAACUAGAAUAUGUAGUGUAGCGGUGAAAUGCUUAGAUAUUACAUGGAAUACCAAUUGCGAAGGCAGGUUACUAUCAGUUUAUUGACGCUGAUGGACGAAAGCGUGGGGAGCGAACAGGAUUAGAUACCCUUGUA
rnacentral:rRNA from 1 species